rnacentral:lncRNA from 1 species
AUGCUUCUGGUUCCAGGGGAGGGAGCUGAAGAUUAAAUCCUGGAGUCUGCCCCAUUAGAAGAGCAGCAGCCUGGUUUCUGGUGACUACAGCAGCAGCCUUCUACCUGAAGACUGACACUGAGCCCGCUAACCACACAAGCCUCCAGUCGGAGUAAUAAAGACGUGAAAUGCCAUGUUCCAUGGCCUAACAAAGUUGGAGAGGGGAAUAACAGGUAUGGAAUGAAAUGAGAAGUAAAGAGAAAUAUUAAAGAACCCACGGUGAAUAAAUAG